UGUAACACCAAAUUAAAUGAAUAGGUUGAAAGAAUGACGUACCUUGAAAGUUUUUCAAUGGUGAUGAAUAUUAGAUUCUAUACAAAGAAAAAUGGAAGAAAGCGUAUGAAUAACAUGGAAGAAAGCAUAUGAAGAAGAAGAAGAAAAAAAAUAUAAAGAAGAAAGAAAAAGAAGAAAUACUUAUGUGGAAGAAGAGGAAAUGCGUUAGAGAGGUGUUAGGGUUUUUCCCUGAG
rnacentral:lncRNA from 1 species